UACGUAGGGUGCGAGCGUUAAUCGGAAUUACUGGGCGUAAAGCGUGCGCAGGCGGUUUUGCAAGCCGGAUGUGAAAUCCCCGGGCUCAACCUGGGAAUGGCAUUCGGGACUGCAAGGCUGGAGUGCGGCAGAGGAGACUGGAAUUCCUGGUGUAGCAGUGAAAUGCGUAGAUAUCAGGAGGAAUACCGAUGGCGAAGGCAGGUCUCUGGGCUGACACUGACGCUCAUGCACGAAAGCGUGGGGAGCGAACGGG
rnacentral:rRNA from 1 species